rnacentral:rRNA from 1 species
GACGAACGCUGGCGGCGUGCCUAAUACAUGCAAGUCGAACGCACUCUCGUUAGAUUGAAGAAGCUUGCUUCUGAUUGAUAACAUUUGAGUGAGUGGCGGACGGGUGAGUAACACGUGGGUAACCUGCCCUAAAGUGGGGGAUAACAUUUGGAAACAGAUGCUAAUACCGCAUAAAACCUAGCACCGCAUGGUGCAAGGUUGAAAGAUGGUUUCGGCUAUCACUUUAGGAUGGACCCGCGGUGCAUUAGUUAGUUGGUGAGGUAAAGGCUCACCAAGACCGGAUGCAUAGGCCGCCCUGGGAGGUUAACCGCCCACCUGGGAAUUAGGAACCGCCCCGACUCCCUACGGAGGCAGCAGUAGGGAAUCUUCCACAAUGGACGAAAGUCUGAUGGAGCAACGCCGCGUGAGUGAAGAAGGUUUUCGGAUCGUAAAACUCUGUUGUUGGAGAAGAACGUAUUUGAUAGUAACUGAUCAGGUAGUGACGGUAUCCAACCAGAAAGCCACGGCUAACUACGUG